rnacentral:rRNA from 1 species
UACAGAGGGGGCAAGCGUUAUUCGGAAUUAUUGGGCGUAAAGAGCUCGUAGGCGGUUUGUCGCGUCUGCUGUGAAAACCCGAGGCUCAACCUCGGGCCUGCAGUGGGUACGGGCAGACUAGAGUGCGGUAGGGGAGACUGGAAUUCCUGGUGUAGCGGUGGAAUGCGCAGAUAUCAGGAGGAACACCGAUGGCGAAGGCAGGUCUCUGGGCCAUUACUGACGCUGAGAAGCGAAAGCAUGGGGAGCGAACAGG